AUGGAAUGGUAUAAAAAACAUGGUUUUCAUGGGUUUGAUAAUAUUACAUUCAGUCCAUUCCAUCCAUUACACUCCAUUUCAACAAACCGAACCUUCAAUUAUGUUGUGAUGCAGUAUUCACGACCACAAUCUCACAAAACUUGGUUAAAGAUGGACUUUAUGACAAAUGAUCCUAUUUACACUUGGGAGUCAAUUUUGAGACUGAAGAAUACUUUUUGGACUCAUAUAGAUGCUACAUAGGCUGUUUUCUAAAUGAGAAGUUGGUUUUUAGGGGCGGUUGCUGUUUAAAGAGAAAGAUGUUGCUAGAUAAGAUGAGCUAUUCAUACUUCACUGUGUUUACCAUAUGCGUGAUGUUACCAAAUCAUUACUUAGAAUUAAAGCCAAGCUGGCAUUUGACAUUAACUCAUCGCUUGUCAGAGAGCAUGGGAGCAAUUAUAUUUCUCCUGAUUCUGGCGCUUCUCAAGGACUAUGGUCAUGGAGCGCCACAGGAAGGUAUUACUGUGUGUGUUUUCUCUGGGUUUAAUGACUACUGGUGGCACUCAACAAUGCUUGGACAUAGACAAGUGUGUUGGGAUCCCAGAUAUUUGUGGGAAAUGGGGAACCUGUCGUAAUCAGGGUUGUAUCUACCUGUGCACGUGCCCAAUGGAUUUAGGAACCUGGCAACGGACAAACUCCGUGUGUAGGUGAGAGAAACACAAUUCUUCUUGAGUCUUCUGACUGUCCCAUCCACUGUUGUGUUAUUUUGACUGACCCAUAAUAUUCAACUGGUAUUUACUCCUUGUGUAACAGGCUUCACUGUUCCUGCUUUACUGUCCCUGGCUCAAACUAAUUAUCCUCUGAUUAACAAACACACAAAACGGUCUGCUUGACAACAUAUUAUCCAGAUGCGCC
rnacentral:lncRNA from 1 species